rnacentral:rRNA from 1 species
AGACCCGAAACCCGGUGAUCUAGCCAUGGGCAGGUUGAAGGUUGGGUAACACUAACUGGAGGACCGAACCGACUAAUGUUGAAAAAUUAGCGGAUGACCUGUGGCUGGGGGUGAAAGGCCAAUCAAACCGGGAGAUAGCUGGUUCUCCCCGAAAGCUAUUUAGGUAGCGCCUCGUGAAUUCAUCUCCGGGGGUAGAGCACUGUUUCGGCUAGGGGGCCAUCCCGGCUUACCAACCCGAUGCAAACUGCGAAUACCGGAGAAUGUUAUCACGGGAGACACACGGCGGGUGCUAACGUCCGUCGUGAAGAGGGAAACAACCCAGACCGCCAGCUAAGGUCCCAAAGUCAUGGUUAAGUGGGAAACGAUGUGGGAAGGCCCAGACAGCCAGGAUGUUGGCUUAGAAGCAGCCAUCAUUUAAAGAAAGCGUAAUAGCUCACUGGUCGAGUCGGCCUGCGCGGAAGAUGUAACGGGGCUAAACCAUGCACCGAAGCUGCGGCAGCGACGCUGAUGCGUUGUUGGGUAGGGGAGCGUUCUGUAAGCCUGCGAAGGUGGCCUGUGAGGGUUGCUGGAGGUAUCAGAAGUGCGAAUGCUGACAUAAGUAACGAUAAAGCGGGUGAAAAGCCCGCU